rnacentral:lncRNA from 1 species
AACGAUGCCAACUUAAAUGCCUAUUUGGAAAGGUAUUUUCUACACGAUCGAUUGUUAGUAGGCAACCCCACUCUCAGAGGUUCUAGGCACGUCCCAAUUGUGGUUUCACAUGAGGCGAUGCGUAGAGGCCUGCAAUGAUUGUAUGAAAAAGCAUCAGUAUUGAAGGAGACACCAGAGACUAGUGGGUGUGGAGUCGAGCUUGCUGAUGAUAUUAGAGGUAUUUUUGACCUGGCAAAUCUGUCCUUUCAUGGGCCUGCAGUUCCGAAUGAACAGUACCAGGAGCCACUUGAGAUACGUGGAGGAGAUAGGGG